UACGUAGGGGUCUCGCGUUGUCCGGAAUUAUUGGGCGUAAAGAGCUCGUAGGCGGUUCGGCAAGUCGGAUGUGAAAUCUCCACGCUUAACGUGGAGGGGCCAUUCGAAACUGCCGUGACUCGAGUCCGGUAGGGGAGUGCGGAAUUCCCGGUGUAGCGGUGAAAUGCGCAGAUAUCGGGAGGAACACCAGUGGCGAAGGCGGCACUCUGGGCCGGAACUGACGCUGAGGAGCGAAAGCGUGGGGAGCGAACAGG
rnacentral:rRNA from 1 species